UUAUUGUUCGAGCUCACCGUCCAUCAUGGCGGCGGCUGGCUGCGUCUUCCACAGAAUCCUGACCCGGUCCAGACCGUCCAGACCCGGUCCCAACAAGGCGUCCUCGUCCUCGCCUGUCGUCUGCAGGGAGUUCCUGUCUGUGGUGGACCUGCAGCGUUACAGCAGAGACCAGGGAUCCUCCGUCUACUUCCCCCAGGCCGUCCUCAGCGGUGAAGACCUGUAUGACGUCACUCUGACAGACGGGGAUUGCAGACUUCGUGUCACUCUGGAUCCGUGUCUUAACCGGCUGGUUGAGAGAAACGUCCUGCAGCCUGGAUCCGUGCUUCGUAACACCACUUUCAUCUCCUCCAUGGCAGCUCAGCUCCCAGAAUGCCCCGGGGCCUCUGAGGGCAGAGAUAGCUACAGACUGCUGGGAGUGGAGGUCACAGACGGAGCUCCAGCUGAGGAGGAGGAGGAGGAGGAUGGAGUCCGGAGGGUAGAUGUGGACUGGGACUCGCUGCCCUGGUUCGGGUCAGAACCUGCAGGUCCUCUGGUUCCUCUGAGAGCCAAUCGGAGCGUGUUCCUCCCGCUGUGGAACAAUGUGGACUACAGCGGGGAGGUGUGGAGGGAAGCUCCGCCCCCUGAGGAGGAGGAGGAGGAUGACGAGGAGGAGCAGGAAGCACGCCGUCCUGCGGUGACGGUGUCAGAGUUGCGGGACUCUUUCCUGUCUGGUCGUCGGGGCGUUACCAGGGGUGCCGUCCAGCAUCAGCUGAUCGUACGCAUCAUCAACAAGUCACACCUGAUGUAUUAUGGGAGAACAGACCGGAACUGUGAAUGUCCAUAUAAGGCAGUGCUGGAGGUGUGUGACCGCACAGGAAGUGUGUGUGUGGUGCUGUGGAACAGUGUGUGUGUCAGCUGGUAUUGCCGUCUGAAGCCUGGUGACAUCAUCAGCCUGCGACGUUAUCGAGUCAAACAGCACUACCAGGCUGAGCCAGAUGACAUAGAGAUCAGCGUGAACAGCAGAAAUCCUGCUGCUCGUAUCGCCAUUCUCCCAGAAUCCUCUGUUUCACCUGAAUGUCUCCCAGGUGAACCCACAUACAGCUUCCACACCAGGUACUCACACAAUCACACACACACCCACACCCACACCCACAGACACACACACACACACACACAAACACACACUGACUCUCUCUCUCUCUCUUGCAGUAAGGAGCUCCUGGACCGUCCUCAUGGUGUCGUGUGUGAUGUCAUCGGCCUGCUGACGUUCUCGGGACGAUCAGAGCGAAUCAGGAGCAAGGAUGGGAGAGGGGCGGAGCUUCUGGAGUAUCGCUGGCUGCGAUUGGAGGAUGGGACUAGCAACCAGCCAAUCAUGGUGAAGCUGUUCUCCACGUCUCAACCUGAGUCCCACCAGAAGCUCCUCCCUCUGUCGGUGGUGGUCUGCAGCAGACUGAAGUUGAUCAGAAGUGCAGAUCGGACUGAUGCAAGCUUCUACCUGACAAACACCACACACACACAGGUGUACUGCACAGGACUGGGCCACCACUCAGAGAUGAGCUACCGUAAGCUCCGCCCCGUGCGACAGUUCCUCCACUGGCUGAGGAGCCAGGAGGAUGGACAGGUGCUGAGCAGGGCUCUGAUUGGAGGAUUCUUCAUCCAUCCAACUCCCGCCGUCUCCUUGGAAACAUACAUGAAAGACAGGCGAGGUGAGCCAGGCUUUCUGCGGGGGGCGGAGCUUCAGAGAGAGAUGGAGCGGCUCUGCUACCGGGAGCGAUGCACCUUCUGUAUCCAGGGUACUGUUACCAUGGUGACGUACAGCCACAGAGGAGAGGAGGAUCGCUGUUUGUUCUGGACGGACAGGGCUUCACCUCUCUCCCCCUCCUCACCCUCCUCACCCUCCUCUCUCCUCUCUAAGUCCUCCCCUCGCCCGCCUCCCUCCCCCUCCCUCUCCUCCUCCUCCUCGCCUCUCCUCCCUCUGCCCUCCACCCCUCGCUCCUUCAGACCUCCUCUCUCCUCCUCUUCUUCUUUCUCCCCGACAUCCUCAGCUGUCAGUCAGCUGACGCCCCGCCCCCUGGACCACUCGGCCGGCAGGAAGUCGUGGAAGAGGAAGCAGCUGCUGCCGGCUGAAACGCCCAAGAAGAGACGUCCGUCGGUCACACUCCAGCCCGAGCAGAACAAUAAGACGGUCAUUCUGUUUGAAGCUUCGAUGGAGUUUCUAGAAAAUGCAAACACUGAUGAAGAUGACAAUGAUGACGACGCCUCCUCCUUCGUCACCGCCCCCCUCCUACCUGCCUUUCCGCCCGUUGCCAUGGAGACGCUGCCGAUGCGUUACGACCACACCCACAGGGAGGAGCAGGCGGCUGCCGUGGCGAUGGGAGGAAAGGCGUCCCUUGCCGGGAAGUUUGACUUUGUCCCUGAGGAUUACUACACUCUGAGACUGAGAGCUGGAUCUCUGCAGCGCUGUCAGACGGUGUGAUGGUGGACGUCAUCUUCCUCCCUCACUCCUCCUCUUCCUCCACCUCUCUCCUCCAUCACUCCAACACCUGGACCUCCAUCCUGUCACACGGAGCCUUCUCCUCACACACACCUGCACCUUCCCCAGCUGACCUCAUCGCCAUGGCAGCCCAGCUGGCCAAUCAGAGGCUGGUGUGCGUCCUGGAGGCGUGUCACCUGGGCGGAGCCAGAACUGAGCUCAUCCUGAGCCGAGCCUUUCACCUGACUGACUGACACACACACACACACACACACAGAUGCCUGACUUUUUAAAGUUCGUAAUUUAUGUAUUAUAUAAUAUUGUUUUUUACAUUUUUAUACUCCACCACUGAAAGAAUAUAUGAAAGUAUUUUAAAUUUUCCAGGAAACAUGUCGUUGCACAUAACUGGUGGGACUUGUAGUUUUUAACUGUAUAAUUGGACUACAUGGAAUGAAACAUGGCUGACCGUGAAGUGUGAAGGAAAGAAGAGCUGAUGAAAUGUGAUCCCACAGAUUUAUUAGAUUUAUUCAUGAUUGUUAUUAGUUUACUCGUCCACGAGUCUGAGAACGUGAACGCGUGGAGACAAUAACACAAUGAUCAGAUGAUCAGGAGGAAACUGUAAAUAGAAUAACAAUCCAGUGACCUUGUUCACAGGGCUAUGAGCUUUGUACAGUAUGUUGUUGUGUUUUGACCUCCAAGGCCACCGUAGCCUCGGCCCUGUUUGUUCUGUAAUGCUGAAAGGAAAAUGUUGUUCUGGUGCCACAGAGUUCCUUCAGCGUUCUGACAAACAUCCAGUGUCUCCAACAUGUUGUGACUGUGAGGCUUGUGUAUUUGCUGUCUUUGACCUUCUGUCCAUCGUGUUUCUGUUUCCAAUAAAUCCUGCUCUCACUCUCA